AUUGAACGCUGGCGGCAGGCCUAACACAUGCAAGUCGAACGAGUGGCGGACGGGUGAGUAAUGUCUGGGAAACUGCCUGAUGGAGGGGGAUAACUACUGGAAACGGUAGCUAAUUCCGCAUACCAUCAGAUGUGCCCAGGUGGGAUUAGCUUGUUGGUGGGGUAACGGCUCACAAAGGCGACGAUCCCUAGCUGGUCUGAGAGGAUGACCUGCAAAACGGGAACGGAGACACGGUCCAUACUCCUACGGGAGGAGGCAGUGGGGAAUAUUGCACAAGGGGCGCAAGCCUGAUGCAGCAAUGCCGCGUGGAUGAAGAAGGCCUUCGGGUUGUAAAGUACUUUCAGCGGGGAGGCGUUACCCGCAGAAGAAGCACCGGCUAACUCCGUGCCAGCAGCCGCGGUAAUUC
rnacentral:rRNA from 1 species